rnacentral:rRNA from 1 species
AGGGCACCACCAGGAGUGGAGCCUGCGGCUUAAUUUGACUCAACACGGGGAAACUCACCCGGCCAGGACACAAUAAGGAUUGACAGAUUGAUAGCUCUUUCUUGAUUUUGUGGGUGGUGGUGCAUGGCCGUUCUUAGUUGGUGGAGCGAUUUGUCUGGUUAAUUCCGAUAACGAACGAGACUCUAGCCUAUUAAAUAGACGAUAUAUUAUUAGUUUAUCGAGCUUCUUAGAGGGACAGGCAGCUUCUAGCUGCACGAGAUUGAGCAAUAACAGGUCUGUGAUGCCCUUAGAUGUCCGGGGCUGCACGCGCGCUACAAUGAUAAUAGCAGCGUGCAUUAAAACCUUUUCUGGUAAGAAUUGGUAAACACGAAAUAUUGUCGUGCUUGGGAUAGGGGAUUGAAAUUAUUGCCCUUAAACGAGGAAUUCCCAGUAAGUGCGAGCCAUUAGCUUGCGUUGAUUACGUCCCUGCCCUUUGUACACACCGCCCGUCGCUACUACCGAUUGGAAGAUUUAGUGAAU